CAGACUUUGAUCCGGAGAUCUCUGAAUGGGGGAACCCACCUAGGAUAACCUAGGUAUCUUGUACUGAAUCCAUAGGUGCAAGAGGCGAACCAGGGGAACUGAAACAUCUAAGUACCCUGAGGAAAAGAAAUCAACCGAGAUUCCCUUAGUAGUGGCGAGCGAACGGGGAUUAGCCCUUAAGCUUCAUUGAUUUUAGCGGAACGCUCUGGAAAGUGCGGCCAUAGUGGGUGAUAGCCCCGUACGCGAAAGGAUCUUUGAAGUGAAAUCGAGUAGGACGGAGCACGAGAAACUUUGUCUGAACAUGGGGGGACCAUCCUCCAAG
rnacentral:rRNA from 1 species